CAUGCCUCCCUUAGUCUAAGGCAUGACACAAAUACAAGUAUCAUAAAGCAAAAUAUUAAUCAACUUGAGUACAUUUAAUUAAACUUUUUUCACCAAAAGUUAUCAUAGAGGAAAGAAAAAGACAAGCCACAAACUGGGAUAUGCAUCAUUAACACGUCACUAGCAAAUGAUCUGUAUCUGGAAUAUAGAGAGAGAUCUUAAAAAGAUCCAUAAGAAAAACACAAAGAAUUUCACAGAAAAAAGGGCCAAAGAACUGAACAGGCAUAUUUCACAGAGAGAAAAUGUAAGUCAUCUAUAAUCUUACUAAAAGUUACUCAAUCUCCUUAGUGAUUAUAGAAAUGCCAAUUAUAAUCAUAAUGAGUAACCAUUUGAUACUCAGCAGAUUGGCAAACAUUAAAAAAUCUGACGAUAAUAAGUUUUGGUGAGAAUAUGGAGCAAUUUAAACUGUUCAUGGAAUGCAAACUGGUACAAUUACUUAGGAAAACAAUUUAGUGUUAUUUAGUAAAAUUGAAGAUGUGUACAAUCUGGGCCCCAGGAAUGUCACUACUAUUUGAUCUGGAAAAACUCUUAUGCGUGUUUAUCAGAAGACAUGUCUCAAAUGUUUAUAGAAUAUUUAAAAAAUAAAAAAAAAUCAUGUGAAGAAACAAAAUCUGUAAAUAGCUCGACUAUUCAUUGCCAUGGGGAUGAUGAAAUGAAUUGUGAUAUGUUUAUACAAUGAAAGGUCUCUCAUUGUCAUUGUUGUUGCAUUGUUAUUGUUUUGUUUUGCUUUGUUGUUUAAGAUGAGAGGUAUAAGUAGAUGCUAGUAUGCUGGUGCAAAUAAUUCAAGAGAAAGUGCUGAAUUUAUGAUAUAGAAUAGAGAGAAAAUGAGUGAAAUAAAACCCUUGAGAAGGCAAGAGGAAAUGAGAUCAAAAUCUCACGUGUGCAAGUUGGUUUUGGGAGCAGAUAGAUGGGAAAGAGGUGGAUGGACCUCUGCAAGUCGUGAAUAAGGUAGUUCCUCUGUUUCCAUCUAUUUUUUCCGUGAUGGUUGAAGUGAACUCGUUGGCUGGGGACAGUGUGGGGAGACAGAGAAUUGGAAAAUUGAGGAAGGAGGUGAAAGUACGAAAAAAUAAAUUCCCAGAGAAUUGGAAAAUGUCAAAAACAGCUGUCAGUCUAUUAACCCGCAUAUAGAAGAGAAACACAAUGCUCAGAAAGAUUAAAUAAAUUAGAUGAAGUACCGUAGUUAGGCAGUGACAAAACUAGGCUUCCCACACAGGUCUUCUGUCUCUAAUUUAGUAAAUUUUCUUAUGCUUCAGUCUCAGGGAGGCAAAAAUUUGCUUCUUUCUAUGGGCCCUAAAGAUCCCUGGAAUUUCUGGGUGAAUUGGAAUUGUUUCAAAGGUCUGCCUGCUCCAGACACUAUCAGAGAGGUCUGAUACCUAUUGUUUUUGAACCUGUAGCAGCACUGUAUUCUUAUUUGGCUUAUUUUAGGAGUAAAAAUACAAGUAAUCAGUGAGUGAUUGUUCAAGAAUUUUUAUUUUCAUUCACUUAUUCAUUUUAAACAUUGAGCACCUACUAUGUGCUCUAAUAUAGUCAUGAGCAUUUCCAUGUGCUUUCAGUAUUUAUUCAUUGAAAAUAUUGAGCAUCCACCAUAUGUAUUAAAUUCUAGCGUGGGUGGCAAAAAACAAGUAAAUAUAUCAGAUGGUGAUAAUUUCUAUGGAGAUAAAUUAAGCAGAGUAAGGGGGUCGAGGGAGAGUUUGGUAUUUUAUAUUGGCCUGCUGAAUGGAUAGUCUUCAGAAGGGCAUGGGAGGAGAAAGAUUAGACAUGGUGGAUAUCCACAAAUCUUUGAAAAAUUUUGCUAUUAAAAAAGAGUGAAAUGGAAAAGUAAUCGGAGAGGAUGUGGAGGUCAAGGGAGAGUUUGUUUUAUUUUUUUUCAGUUGGGAGAUUAUGAUGAUUAAUUUUAUGAGUCAACUUGAAUUUUAUAUGUCAACUUGACGGGGCCAUGGAGGAGCCCAGAUAUUUGAUUAAACAGUAUUCUAGGUGUGUCUGUGAAACUCUUUCUGGAUGAGAUUAACAUUUGUAUCUGUAGACUGAGUAAAGCAGAUUGCUCUCCCCAGUGUGGGUGGGUCUCGUCCAAUCCAUUGAAAGCCUGAAUAGAACAAAAAGGCUGAGUUGGGAGAAUUCAUUCUCUUUCUACAUGACUAUCUUUGAGCUGUGACACCAGUCUUCUUCUGCCUUCAGCCUAGGACUGGAACUUACACCAUUGGCUCUCCUGCAUCUCAAGCUUGCCAAGUGCAGGUCUUGGGGCUUUUCAACCUCCACAAUCACCAAGAAGAUGGCCCUCUGUAAAAGGGAAGAGGUCACUCACCAGAACCUGACCAUACUGGCACCCUGGUCUUGGACUUCCAGCCUCCAGAACUGUGAGAAAUAAAUUUCUGCUGUUUAUAACCCACCCAGUCUAUGGUACUUUGUCAUAGCAGCCUGAAUUGACUAAGACAGUGGGUUUUUUAAAAAGUGUUUUUUGAAUAAUGAAUUUGUCUCUGCAGUACUCAAGUAAAAUAGGUACCUCUGAACAGUUUGUACCAGGGGUGUGGACUGGGCCUGUUUGCUAGCCAUGGUAUACAAACACAGCUGCUUGAUCUGGAAGAAUUUAAUCAAACUACUCUCUACCUAGAUUUCUGAUUUUGAAAUGUGGCAGAUGAUUAUGAUACGGGUAUAUAUUUCCUUGAUCUUUCUCUUAGUCUUAUUUAUUUAUUAUUUACUUACUUACAUGCUUAUUAUCACAAAAACUCCUACUCAUCCUUUAGAAACUCAUGCAGUGCUUGGGUUAGGUGAAAUUCAUUUAGAAAAGCUGAUGCAUGAAAAUGGGAAUGUAAAGACAAUGAGUAACAAAUUUCUUUCUAAAUAUUCUUUCGUAAAAUAAAAGAGAAAGAGGAGGAGAUCAUUUGAAAAAGAAGUAAUAUGGCAGGGAAUCUUCUUAGUUUCCUGAUAUUGUAUCCGGUCGGUGACAGUCUGUUCUCAGUAUUGGUAAGGAUAGCAUCGAUUGCUGGGGUAAGUUAUUUUGGGAGGACAUUAAUAGUAUGGUAAAUAAUUUAGUCCUAUCAACCACAGGAAGUAUCCUAUCCUAAAAGACAUAUCAGAAGACAUGUCUUUUGGCUUUUAAGAAAAUGAUAUAAGACUCAUACAGUUAAAAUUAUUUUUGAAGCUGACUAUCCCUGGGUGCAUAACUGUACUGAUAUUUUCCCAUCAGUUUGCAGACAAUUGGCCCACUUUGGUGAUGAGUCAUUUAGUUCCACUUUCAAUCUUGGCAUUGAAAAAUACAUAGGUAAUUCUAGUGUGAAAAAAGACAUUUCCAUAUUCUUGCCUUAAAAUUUGAUUUAGAACUAUAUGACCUGUUAUUUUGUUUCUUUUGCCAGAAAGUUUUUGCAAUGAAAUUUUUAUAAAAAUUGCUCUAAUACAUUUUUAUAGUUGGGAAGGACCAUUUUAAAAUGUGAAUUUGAAUUCAUCACUGUGUGAUUGGCUUCCAAAUUUGCAUCUUCUGCCAGACACCUCCUCUGAGUUCCAGAGCAUAUAUACUAAUACAAAGGGAGAUUUGGAGUGGAGUAAGCAAGAGAGACGGACAUCAUCUCUGAUACUUACUUCUCCCUCACCCUCUUUAACAAACCAUCACCAUGUUCCAUGAUUUUACUUCCUAAAUAUCUCUAAAAUCUGACCGUAUCACUCUGGUGAUGUCAUAACUGAUUUUUAUGACAUUUAAUGAUAUCACAACAGAUUUUCAUACAUUUUCCCUUUCCCCUCUCCUAUUCUUUCUCCAGAAUGAACUUUUUCAAUGAAGCUCGUAUAGAUUCUUCUCCUCAGCACUAAAGUGUGAAACAAUUUCAUCUGUAGAAAUUUAUCCAAAGAACUUGAAAACACCAAUUUGCAAAGGUACAUGCACCACUGUGUUCAUUGCAGCGUUAUUCACAAUAGCCAAGACUUGGAAGCAACCUCAGUGCCCAUCAAGGGAUAA